rnacentral:rRNA from 1 species
AGAGUUUGAUCCUGGCUCAGGACGAACGCUGGCGGCGUGCCUAACACAUGCAAGUCGAACGGAACUUUUUUAAAGGAUUUCUUCGGAAUGAAUUUGAUUAAGUUUAGUGGCGGACGGGUGAGUAACGCGUGAGUAACCUGCCUCUAAGAGGGGAAUAACAUUCUGAAAAGAAUGCUAAUACCGCAUAACAUAUAUUUAUCGCAUGGUAGAUAUAUCAAAGAUUUAUCGCUUAGAGAUGGACUCGCGUCCGAUUAGUUAGUUGGUGAGGUAACGGCUCACCAAGGCCGCGAUCGGUAGCCGGACUGAGAGGUUGAACGGCCACAUUGGGACUGAGACACGGCCCAGACUCCUACGGGAGGCAGCAGUGGGGGAUAUUGCGCAAUGGGGGAAACCCUGACGCAGCAACGCCGCGUGAAGGAUGAAGGUCUUCGGAUUGUAAACUUCUUUUAUUAAGGACGAAGAAAGUGACGGUACUUAAUGAAUAAGCUCCGGCUAACUACGUGCCAGCAGCCGCGGUAAUACGUAGGGAGCAAGCGUUGUCCGGAUUUACUGGGUGUAAAGGGUGCGUAGGCGGCUUUGCAAGUCAGAUGUGAAAUCUAUGGGCUCAACCCAUAGCCUGCAUUUGAAACUGCAGAGCUUGAGUGAAGUAGAGGCAGGCGGAAUUCCCCGUGUAGCGGUGAAAUGCGUAGAGAUGGGGAGGAACACCAGUGGCGAAGGCGGCCUGCUGGGCUUUAACUGACGCUGAGGCACGAAAGCGUGGGUAGCAAACAGGAUUAGAUACCCUGGUAGUCCACGCUGUAAACGAUGAUUACUAGGUGUGGGGGGUCUGACCCCUUCCGUGCCGGAGUUAACACAAUAAGUAAUCCACCUGGGGAGUACGG